UGGCUCAGUUGGUAAGAGCAUGGUGUUUGCAACGCCAGCAUGGUGUGUGCAAUGCCAGGGUUGUGGGUUCGAUUCCCAC
rfam:Salmo salar isolate Sally breed double haploid chromosome ssa01, whole genome shotgun sequence.